rnacentral:lncRNA from 1 species
CUGUGGGUGUCUUUGAGACAAAGCAUUGACAAAGUCUCGGAGCUCGCUGUGCGUGCCAGGAGUGCACAGGUCCCUGCUAGGAAGCACAACUGCGUGUGUGCGUCAUGGCGUCACCCGAACAGCAAGGGCAGCCCAGGGAGGAGGCAUCUGAGGCCUUCAGGACUGGGAAUGCCUUGUACCUCGUGCCCAUUGGGGUGUUUCUGUGGCUGAGUCAGAGUUGUGUCACUUCUGGCGCCCAAGUUCUAGCCUAUUAUUUUCUUCAGCGGGUUUACCUGGAUGCCUGUGAUGUAGUACUUCUUACAAGUUCCUGCUAUUUUGGAAGUAAGAUUGAGCACUUGCUUGUGGUUCUGUGGACAAAUUCAUGGUGUUUCCAAUCUCCCCACCAUGGGGAGCAACGACUGUGUGUGCUCUGAGGUCUACGUGUGUAUAUGUUAGCACACCUGUAACAGUACAUGCAUGGAAACGUCAGAAUGGCUCACCCCUUGUGCUAUGUCACUGGAGGCGCUCGUCAGGCCCUACAGUGGAGGUCAUCCUACAUGCUCCCCAGCAGCCCUGGCUUCCAGAAUCACAACGCUAGGCCAUCUCCUUUCCCACUCUGACAACUGAGGACACCACUGGAAACUGCCAAGCACUUCCCAAGGAAGUAAAAUUACCUCUGACUGAUGGAGAAUUACUGAUGUGUGGGUGUGUAUAUAUGUGCACAUAAAGAGUUUAAAGAAAUAUGCAUAAAAUAUAAGAAUGCCUUUUAUCCUAAAAAUGAAUUAAAUUUUAUUUGAUUUCUAGUACUGAUGUACCUAGGGAGGAAUAACAAAGAAAUGAUAGACUUAAAAUUUUUUAUCAUCUUAUUUCUUAAAUAACAAGGUAAAACUGUCAUUUUGAUCACAUCUCUCAGUUCUGAAAUUACUG